rnacentral:rRNA from 1 species
GUGCACCAGUCACGAAAACUCCGCAAUACGCGAAAGCGUGACGGGGCCAUCCCGAGUGCCGUCCGCUGAGGAUGGCUUUUCCCUAGUGUAGAUAGCUGGGGGAAUAAGGAGAGGGCAAGUCUGGUGUCAGCCGCCGCGGUAAUACCAGCUCUUCGAGUGGUAGGGAUGUUUAUUGGGCCUGAAGCAUCCGUAGCUGGCUGUGCAAGUCCUCCGUUAAAUCCAGCGAUUUAAUCGUUGGAUUGCGGGGGAUACUGUUCGGCUAGGGGGUUGGAGAAGCCAACGGUAUUCCCGGGGUAGGGGUGAAAUUCUAUAAUCCCGGGAGGACCACCAGUGGCGGAGGCUGUUGGCUAGAACACGCCCGACGGUGAGGGAUGGAAGCUGGGGGAGCGAACCGGAUUAGAUCCCCCGUAGUCC